GGCGGCGUGCUUUCCACAUGCAAGAGGAAAAAACCUUCGGGUUAGUGGCGGACGGGUGAGUAACGCUUUUCCCUCUGCCCUCAGGAGAGGGGAUAACGGUUGGAAACGACCGCUAAUACCCCAUAUGCCGAGAGGUGAAAAGAAAUUCGCCUGAGGAUGAGCUCGCGUCUGAUUAGCUAGUUGGUGUGGUAAUGGCGCACCAAGGCUUCGAUCAGUAGCUGGUCUGAGAGGAUGAUCAGCCACACUGGGACUGAGACACGGCCCAGACUCCUACGGGAGGCAGCAGUGGG
rnacentral:rRNA from 1 species